rnacentral:misc_RNA from 1 species
UCCGGUUUAUCACCGGCAGUCUCCUCAGAGUGCCCAGCUUGACCUGAUGGCAACAGAGGACGAGGGUUGCGCUCGUUGCGGGACUUAACCCAACAUCUCACGACACGAGCUGACGACAGCCAUGCAGCGCCUAUACAGAUGCCCUUGCGGGAGCCGGCUUUCGCCUAAUGUCAUCUGCAUUUCGAGCCCAGGUAAGGUUCUUCGCGUUGCGUCGAAUUGAACCACAUGCUCCACCGCUUGUGCGGGCCCCCGUCAAUUCCUUUGAGCUUCAGCCUUGCGACCGUACUCCCCAGGCGGAGUGCUUAAUGCGUUAGCUUCGGCACGGCAGGGGUCAAUACCCGCGACACCUAGUGCUCAUCGUUUACGGCGUGGACUAC